AGAGUUUGAUCAUGGCUCAGAACGAACGCUGGCGGCGCGCCUUACACAUGCAAGUCGAACGAGAAAGCUCCUUCGGGAGUGAGUAAAGUGGCGCACGGGUGAGUAACGCGUGAGUAAUCUACCCUCAGGCGGGGGAUAACGGCCCGACGCUAAUACCGCAUGAGACCACAGUAACUACGGUUACAGUGGCUAAAGGCUUCGGCCACCUGGGGAUGAGCUCGCGUCCCAUUAGCUAGUUGGUGGGGUAAUGGCCUACCAAGGCUACGAUGGGUAACUGGUCUUAGAGGAUGAUCAGUCACACUGGAACUGAAACACGGUCCAGACUCCUACGGGAGGCAGCAGUGGGGAAUCUUGCGCAAUGGACGAAAGUCUGACGCAGCGACGCCGCGUGAACGAUGAAGGUUUUCGGAUCGUAAAGCCUUGUGGGAGAGGGAAGAACAACCGGUGGGAAUAAUACCCUGUUGGUCUGACGGUACCUCUUCAGAAAGCACCGGCUAACUCCGUGCCAGCAGCCGCGGUAAUACGGAGGGUGCGAACGUUGUUCGGAAUUACUGGGCGUAAAGCGCGUGUAGGCGGCUUGGCAAGUUAGAUGUGAAAGCCCUCGGCUCAACCCCGGAAGUGCAUUGGAAACUGGCCAACUUGAGUACGGGAGAGGAAAGUGGAAUUUCGAGUGUAGGGGUGAAAUCCGUAGAUAUUCGAAGGAACACCAGUGGCGAAGGCGGCUUUCUGGACCGAUACUGACGCUGAGAUGCGAAAGCGUGGGGAGCAAACAGGAUUAGAUACCCUGGUAGUCCACGCCGUAAACGAUGGGUACUAGGUGUUGCGGGUAUUGACCCCUGCAGUGCCAAAGCUAACGCAUUAAGUACCCCGCCUGGGGAGUACGGCCGCAAGGCUAAAACUCAAAGGAAUUGACGGGGGCCCGCACAAGCGGUGGAGCAUGUGGUUUAAUUCGACGCAACGCGAAGAACCUUACCUGGCUUGACAUCCCGAUCGCACCCCUUGGAAACUUGGGGGUCAGCUUGGCUGGAUCGGUGACAGGUGCUGCAUGGCUGUCGUCAGCUCGUGUCGUGAGAUGUUGGGUUAAGUCCCGCAACGAGCGCAACCCUUGUCCUUAGUUGACAUCCGUAAUGGUGGGCACUCUUAGGAGACUGCCGGUGUCAAACCGGAGGAAGGUGGGGAUGACGUCAAGUCCUCAUGGCCCUUAUGCCCAGGGCUACACACGUACUACAAUGGCCGGUACAAAGAGGCGCUAACCCGCGAGGGCACGCAAAUCUCAAAAAGCCGGUCUCAGUUCGGAUUGGAGUCUGCAUCUCGACUCCAUGAAGGCGGAAUCGCUAGUAAUCGCGGAUCAGCAUGCCGCAGUGAAUACGUUCCCGGGCCUUGUACACACCGCCCGUCACACCAUGAGAGUCGACUACUCCAGAAGUCGUUGAGCGAACCUUCGGGAAGCAGGCGCCCAAGGAGUGGUUGGUAACUGGGGUGAAGUCGUAACAAGGUA
rnacentral:rRNA from 1 species